rnacentral:misc_RNA from 1 species
GAUGAAGAACGUAGCGAAAUGCGAUAAGUAGUGUGAAUUGCAGAAUUUAGUGAAUCAUCGAAUCUUUGAACGCACAUUGCGCCCUUUGGUAUUCCUUAGGGCAUGCCUGUUCGAGCGUCAUCUACACCCUCAAGCACAGCUUGGUGAUGGGCGCCUGUCCCGCCCCCCACGGGGGCGCGGACUCGCCUCAAAUGCAUUGGCGGCCGGCGACCUGGCUUCGAGCGCAGCAGAAACGCGUACUCGGGGACCGGGCGCCCGCUCCCAGAAGCCAACCCACCCAGUUUGACCUCGGAUCAGGUAGGGAUACCCGCUGAACUUAAGCAUAUCAAUAGCGGAGGA